rnacentral:rRNA from 1 species
UACAGAGGGGCAAGCGUUAUUCGGAAUUAUUGGGCGUAAAGGGCGCGUAGGCGGCUUGGCAAGUGGAAGGUGAAAUCCCUCGGCUUAACCGAGGAACUGCCCUCCAAACUGCUUGCUUGAGGCCGGGAGAGGUGAGUGGAAUUCCCAGUGUAGCGGUGAAAUGCGGUAGAUAUUGGGAGGAACACCAGUGGCGAAGGCGGCUCACUGGACCGGUUCUGACGCUGAUGCGCGAAAGCGUGGGAGCAACGGG